GUAGGGCUUUGUCCCAGCGUUCUCCAGAAGACAGGUUCUGGGGAAUGUCUCACGCUGCGCCCUAGCAUGGCGGCGAAGUGGAAGACUGGGCAGGUGUGUGAAGGAAGAUAGAACCUCAUAAACUCUUGUUACAGAAACCAGUCCAGCUCUGCAAGACUGAGAAUCCACUCAGCUCGACACAUUGUAAAGACCAAUGGAUUGUGAGGAGUCAAGCGUCAACUGAUAUUUCUGUAUCACAGCUCUUGUAUGUAUGCUAAGUGUGCGACAUCAAGCAGUAAAAUGUGAAGAGCUAGUGAAGAUGCAAUUAUGAAGGCGGAAAAGGCACCCGAGUGAGGUCUUUGCAGAUCCUGGCAGGCUUCGUUCCUUUGUCAUAGCUCAGGUCACAAGCCCCCGCUUCACAUCCUUGGAUAUCCUGAGGCAAGGCUGAGGGAAAUUGCCAACAGCUUCUGAGCUAUGAUAGGGGCUGUUUGAUUUGUGAGGUUACCAGCCAACCUGGGGGAAGGAGUAACAUUGAGAUUCACUGGCAG
rnacentral:lncRNA from 1 species